GCUGGGCAUGGUGCUGCAUGCCUGUAAUCCCAGCAACUCAGGAGGCUGAGGCAGGAGGAUCCCAAGUUCAAGGCCACCUUCAGCAACUUGGCGAGACCCUGUCUCAA
rnacentral:sRNA from 1 species